GGAGUUUAAAAGAAUGUUUAUAAAUUCAUGUAUAAAUUGGGAAAACUCGACAUUGGCUGUUACGUCUCUUGCAUCAGCGUGCGUACCGUCAUGGGCGGAGCUACGUCACCAGCAGCAGCAGACUCUCAUAUCUCGUGCUGCUGAUGUCUUGAGCAGCGUGAUGCAUUAUGUUAACCUGCCUUUGUUGGUGUUUGUCCCAGGUAUGUUUUAUUCAGAUUUGUCGCGUUCUGUGUGAAGUUAUGUUAGUUAAUUUGAGUGUUAGCCCUAACUCACGUGUCGGCACACAUGCUCACACGUGCUCGCACGUGCUGAUCUGUGUAACCAUGCCAUUUAGGGUCUGUGCUCAUUUUCAGUGUUUCAUUUAAUUAUGUAAAAUGAUGGUUAUUCAAGAUUAUGCUUCUCUGUAUUUGUGAAGUGAUAAUGAGAACAGAGACAAUGAUUUAUAUUUUCUUUAAUGUGUUUUAUUUUGGUUUUUACUCCACUAUAUGUUCACGAUCACCCUGUAAAAAUAUUAGUGAGCAGACUCUCAUAUCUCGUGCUGCUGAUGUCUUGAGCAGCGUGAUGCAUUAUGUUAACCUGCCUUUGUUGGUGUUUGUCCCAGUCUGUUUGUCCCAGACCCAGUAAAGUGCAUCUGUGAGUAACCAUC